UACGUAGGGUGCGAGCGUUAAUCGGAAUUACUGGGCGUAAAGCGUGCGCAGGCGGUUUUGUAAGUCUGUCGUGAAAGCCCCGGGCUCAACCUGGGAAUUGCGAUGGAGACUGCAAGGCUGGAGUCUGGCAGAGGGGGGUAGAAUUCCACGUGUAGCAGUGAAAUGCGUAGAGAUGUGGAGGAACACCUGCGGCGAAGGCGGGUUGCUGGGCUGACACUGACGCUGAGGCGCGAAAGCUAGGGGAGCGAACGGG
rnacentral:rRNA from 1 species